UGCCAUCGACAAGAUGGAGGAAGUGGGGGAUGACGUCAAGUCAUCAUGGCCCUUAUGUCCAGGGCGACACACGUGCUACAAUGGCCGGCACAACGGGAAGCGAGUUCGCGAGGACGAGCGGAUCCCUCAAAGCCGGUCGCAGUUCGGAUUGAAGUCUGCAACUCGACUUCAUGAAGCUGGAAUCGCUAGUAAUCGUGGAUCAGCCAAGCCGCGGUGAAUACGUUCCCGGGCCUU
rnacentral:rRNA from 1 species